AUUGAACGCUGGCGGCAGGCCUAACACAUGCAAGUCGAGCGGAUGAAGGGAGCUUGCUCUCUGAUUCAGCGGCGGACGGGUGAGUAAUGCCUAGGAAUCUGCCUGGUAGUGGGGGACAACGUUUCGAAAGGAACGCUAAUACCGCAUACGUCCUACGGGAGAAAGCAGGGGACCUUCGGGCCUUGCGCUAUCAGAUGAGCCUAGGUCGGAUUAGCUAGUUGGUGAGGUAAUGGCUCACCAAGGCAACGAUCCGUAACUGGUCUGAGAGGAUGAUCAGUCACACUGGAACUGAGACACGGUCCAGACUCCUACGGGAGGCAGCAGUGGGGAAUAUUGGACAAUGGGCGAAAGCCUGAUCCAGCCAUGCCGCGUGUGUGAAGAAGGUCUUCGGAUUGUAAAGCACUUUAAGUUGGGAGGAAGGGCAGUAAGCUAAUAUCUUGCUGUUUUGACGUUACCGACAGAAUAAGCACCGGCUAACUUCGUG
rnacentral:rRNA from 1 species